rnacentral:rRNA from 1 species
ACGUAGGGGGCGAGCGUUAUUCGGAAUUACUGGGUGUAAAGGGUAUGUAGGCGGCCCUUCAAGUCGCGUGUCAAAGUCCAGUGCUCAACGCUGGGUGUGCACGCGAUACUGACGGGCUUGAGUGCUGGAGAGGUGAGCGGAAUUCCCGGUGUAGUGGUAAAAUACGUAGAGAUCGGGAGGAACACCGGUGGCGCAGGCGACUCACUGGACCGUUACUGACGCUGAGAUGCGAAAGCGUGGGGAGCAAACAG